AUACUUACCUAUUCUUUUGGGGAGAUUCCAUGAUCACGAAGGUGGUUUUCCCAGGACUAGGCUUAUCCAUUGCAUUCCAGAUGUGCUGACCCCUGCAAUUUCCCCAAAUGUGGGAAACUCAACUGCAUAAUUUGUGGUAAUGGGGGACUGCGUUCGCGGUCUCCCCUG
rfam:Erinaceus europaeus unplaced genomic scaffold scaffold00024, whole genome shotgun sequence